rnacentral:lncRNA from 1 species
CGCGGAGAACGCCGUAAAACAUUUGUAAUCAUAGUUUUUCGAUCUGCAGCGAUUAUGCAGUCCUAAUAUCACAUGCUGCAAACAGUGAGAGGAGAGCGCGAUAGCGAUUAUACGCCAGCAGUGGUGACAAGUUAUGUCCUAAGUAUAAAAAGGCAUUGUUACGUUUGCAAAGCCUGCGGUACCGCGACUACUGCUUCCUAACCUAAUAAAUUAUUUUACAAUAGUUAUAGCGUUUUUCUGGGGCUUCUUAUAGAGGUACUUCGGUCGUACACAGGUCGCUGUGUCACGUUUUAGUCAAGCCAAGCCAGGCUAAGCUUUCGAAAACGAAACGACGGUUUAACAUGUGAUCGACAGUUCACGUGGGGUAGUUCGCCGUAGUAGGACGAUUAAAGUAUGUCGUCGCUGGUCAACUUGAGCGAGCUAGAGAAAGGAAUUUUGGCUCGCAUGCGAGCUCAGAAUUCGGACCCCUAUCAAGUAGCGCCAGAACGACAUGCUUCGACGGACGACAGUGGCAGCGACGGCUCCGACGGACGGCCACCGACACCGCCAGCAGCGCGCCUCGAGAAUGCAGAUUGGUGCAGAUGCAAGAACUGCAUAGUGAUGCCCACAGCCGCUUAGUGUGUUUGCUGCUGGGACUACGCAGAAAUCAAUCGGGAUUUGGCGUGCGUGACAAUGGAGCCCUACUUCCGCACACUCUGUCUCGACGCACUUGUCCUGAGAAUUGCGUUUAUCGAUGUGCAUAACAACGGCGAGGACGACGGUAUAGAGGACGAUCACAAGAAGUGGAGGUACACGUCGUACCGGCAAUUUACGAGGUGGACAUGGGGCUACCUGGGGCGCCAUAAUCGGAAGGUACUACCAUCGUGCGUCGUCCGGCAGAUUCGUGAACGAUUUCCCUCGCCAUCAUACAGAGGUUUCAGGCCACCUAAUCUGCUGUGAACCUUGUGGAAUGCAAUAA